CUAAAAUAACCCUAAAUCUAAUGUGUUGCUGCCGCCUCUCUACUCUCUUCUUCGAUUUCUUUUAUGCCUUAGCUACACAACGCCGGUGACUUCUUGAAAUUGCCACAACGUCGGUCUGAAUCGCUCAUAUACUUCUUGAUUCAACGAUUCGGCUCCAUUGUUCGUCGGGGAAUAAUCGCGCCAUUUGUUUUAGGGUUUUUGCGUUAACUCUCAGAUUUCUUUCAAUUUUUAUCGGUCAUCAGAUUACAGCCUGAAAUUGUCGUCCAUCAACUUUAUAUUAAGGAGAUUGUUGAGAAUGAACAAGAAGAAAUUCACUAUUACAGUUGAGAAAGAGCAUAGUUUACAGCAGGAAGGAAAUAGAGUGGUUUAUUAAUUCAAUUGGUUUAUAUAUCUAAUUUUGUUUUGUUUUCAUUCUUUUUGCAGGGGUCAUUCAUUCAAAUCUUACAAAAAAAUUGAGAAGCAACUAGCUUCUUCGCCGUUUCAUCAUUUUCGUCUCACUAAUUUCUUAUUUAUUUUUCUCAUUAUCUCAUCAAGCAUGUUUCCUCAUUUUACUCGUUUUUCCCCAAUUUCUUGUUUGGCUACUUUAAUGUUAAUUAUUAUUUUUGUAAUUUCUCAGUUGUAUAUAUCAAGUCCAUAAAUGGGUUAAAUUGAAGCCAUUGUUCAAAAACAUAAACGAGUUAUUCCCCAUUUCUGCUACUAUAUUAUAAAUAAAUUUCGACUCGAUGCUGAAUUGAGUGAAUCAAAUGGAUGUUAACUAAUUAGCGUUUAACAUUUCUGCUACUAUAUUAUAAAUAAAUUUCUCUUUCCUAAUUCUGUUUCAACCUUUUUUGCAAAAGAUUGCUUGCAGGAGGAUUGCUCAUUUAGAAAAAUAUCCUAAUUCAAAGGUGACAAGUCUUGGAAUUGGAGACAUCAUUGAGCCUAUUCCAAAAGUCAUAACUUCUGCAAUGAAAAAGAUAUAAUUAAUUCGCUCAAGCUUAGUUUUGAUGGAAAGUUUUCUCCGAAUAGAAUCUCUUCCGGAACAAGUGCAGCGGAACUUGUAAGAAUUGCAGGCUUCAAACAGUAGAAUGGAUUGUUGGUCUUCAGUAAAAUGUUAGCUUUAUUAGGUGUGGUUGUCAUUUAGUAGAUUUUCUACUCAGUAAUCAUGUAUUUUUGACAACAUUGAUAUCUUAUGUUUUAAGUUUAAGAACUUCUUGAUGAGGCUGAGUUUGGGAAGGCUGCAAGGAAAUGGAGUAUGAUGAGAACACUAUCAAUGCUGCUUCAGAUCUUGGACUGUUGGAGGAAUGUGACAAAGAAAGAUUGAUUUUCUUUCAACUUCCUGCCAAGCUACCCUUUGUCAAGCACCCAGAUAGUGCAAAGGGAAAAGAGAAAGCUAAAGGCUCAAUUCCGUCACAGAACCAGAGUGCUACAAGGAAGGAAAGCGGUUUAGAAGAGUUAUCAGGGGGAUACAUGGGCAAAAUGCUGGUUUACAGGAGCGGAGCGGUGAAGCUGAAGCACGCCGGUCUGAAUCGCUCAGAUAUUUACGGUUCUAAUUUUACAAAAUUUUGAUAAUGCAGAUCUAUUUUAAAAGUUAUGCUUAAUUCAGUUUCUUGACUUUUUAGUAAAUAUUUUACAUGUUUACAUAUAAUCGGUUAUUUUAGUAUAUUAAAGACUUAUUCAUUUA